GCUAAGACUGGAUAGGAAGUUUUAAGGCAUCUUGAAACUUUUAAAAGACCCGCAAGGGUAUGCUGAGAGAUGGGCUUGCGGCACAUUAGUUAGUUGGUAAGGUAACGGCUUACCAAGACCAUGAUGUGUAGCUGGACUGAGAGGUUGAACGGCCACAUUGGGACUGAGAUACGGCCCAAACUCCUACGGGAGGCAGCAGUAAGGAAUUUUCGGCAAUGGAGGAAACUCUGACCGAGCAACGCCGCGUGAACGAUGAAGUAUUUAGGUAUGUAAAGUUCUUUUAUUAAAGAAGAAAAAAUGAUGGAAAAAUCAUUCUGACGGUAUUUAAUGAAUAAGCCCCGGCUAACUAUGUGCCAGCAGCUGCGGUAAUACAUGGGGGGCAAGCGUUAUCCGGAUUUAUUGGGCGUAAAGGGUGCGUAGGCGGUUUAAUAAGUCUAUGGUCUAAGUUCAACGCUUAACGUUGUGAUGCUAUAGAAACUGUUUGACUAGAGUUGGAUAGAGGCAAGCGGAAUUCCAUGUGUAGCGGUAAAAUGCGUAAAGAUAUGGAGGAACACCAGUAGCGAAGGCGGCUUGCUGGGUCUUAACUGACGCUGAGGCACGAAAGCGUGGGGAGCAAACAGGAUUAGAUACCCUGGUAGUCCACGCCGUAAACGAUGAGUACUAAGUGUUGGGUUAAACCAGUGCUGAAGUUAACGCAUUAAGUACUCCGCCUGAGUAGUACGUACGCAAGUAUGAAACUUAAAGGAAUUGACGGGACUCCGCACAAGCGGUGGAUCAUGUUGUUUAAUUCGAAGAUACACGAAAAACCUUACCAGGUCUUGACAUACUCUGCAAAGCUAUAGAAAUAUAGUGGAGGUUAUCAGGGAUACAGGUGGUGCAUGGUUGUCGUCAGCUCGUGUCGUGAGAUGUUGGGUUAAGUCCCGCAACGAGCGCAACCCUUAUCGCUAGUUACCAUCAUUUAGUUGGGCACUUUAGUGAGACUGCCAAUGAUAAAUUGGAGGAAGGUGGGGAUUACGUCAAAUCAUCAUGCCCCUUAUGACCUGGGCUACAAACGUGAUACAAUGGCUGUUACAAAGAGUAGCUGAAGCGUGAGUUUUUAGCAAAUCUCAAAAAAACAGUCUCAGUUCGGAUUGAAGUCUGCAACUCGACUUCAUGAAGUCGGAAUCGCUAGUAAUCGCGAAUCAGCAUGUCGUGGUGAAUACGUUCUCGGGGUUUGUACACACCGCCCGUCAAACCAUGAAA
rnacentral:rRNA from 1 species